rnacentral:ncRNA from 1 species
CGCUCAUCAGAGCCCACAAAAGGUGUUGGUUGAUAUAGACAGCAGGACGGUGGCCAUGGAAGUCGGAAACCGCUAAGGAGUGUGUAACAACUCACC